rnacentral:rRNA from 1 species
GCUAAACGCGAAGAACCUUACCCAGAUUUGACAUGCAGCAGACAGCCUCAGAAAUGAGGUUUUCCUUCGGGACUGCUGCACAGGUGCUGCAUGGCUGUCAUCAGCUCGUGCCGUGAGGUGUUGGGUUAAGUCCCGCAACGAGCGCAACCCUUAUCGUUAGUUGCCAACACGUAAUGGUGGGAACUCUAACGAGACUGCCUGGGUUAACCAGGAGGAAGGUGAGGAUGACGUCAAGUCCGCAUGGCCCUUAUGUCUGGGGCUACACACGUGCUACAAUGGUCGGUACAGAAGGCAGCAAAUCCGCAAGGUAGAGCAAAUCCAACAAAGCCGAUCCCAGUUCAGAUUGUAGUCUGCAACUCGACUACAUGAAGAUGGAAUUGCUAGUAAUGGCGAGUCAGCAACAUCGCCGUGAAUACGUUCCCGGGUCUUGUACACACCG